CCGACUUUGAUCCCCGCAGGUGCGGCCUGAAACGUGGGCUUUCUGAGCUCCUUUGGAGAGGGCGCGACUCUGAACGUUGCCUGAGGCUGACCUGGAGAAGCCUGGAGGACCGGCCAAAGCACCGAGAGGCAGACACCCAGGGACUCGGGCGGCACCUGGCAGCUCGUCUGUGGGCUCAGCAGACGCCUCCCGGAUCAAUGAAGGGAUGGAUUCCGCCAAGCACAGGGGUGACCUGCCCCACGCUGCCCGGCCGGCACCGCGUGUCCCGUGACCUUCUGUCUUGGCCGAGGUCCUCACGCCUGUUUCAGGGCAGAGUCCUGCUUUCAGAUGAGCAGGGCCGCUGUGGCCAGGUCUGCGUUUGGGUCUCCGCGGCCCGCACGGGACCCUCAGAGGCCUCGGGCGGGUCUCCCCCGAGCGGGUGAGAUGCGCUGCCCCAUGUGUAGAGGAUUCAAA